UCACUUAUAUUUUAAUUUCUAAUACUGUACACUUUUCCACGUUACCCUGAAGGUAGAGUGCAAUAACGCUUUUUUUUAUAGCGGUAUCUUCAAUAGGUCUAUUCCACUAUUGUGUCUUUUUCUUUAUUUGUAAUAUGGCUAACGGAGAUAUUGGUAGAACGAUAAUCUAUUAAUAACGGUGCAUAUGUCUUCUCACAACGAUAGUCCUUGGAAAAUAAAUCUCUGUGGUAAAGGACCCUUCUGUGGGCUAAUACACGUACGUGCAUGCGUGUUUGUGUAAUAAUGAAACAGUACCGUCACCUGACUUUAUUAUCAUUAUUAUUGGAUGCAGCAUGAUGUCUGGAAGAUUUGAGGGAUUGUAUGAUACAGGGCUCUCCUGUGGGCUAGGCUUUUCUGUGGUAUAGGUCCCUUCUAUAAUUCAGAUCUUUCUUUGGUAAAGGGCCUUUUUUGGACUUCUUCUGUGUUACAGGGCCCUUAUGUGAGUACAGGGUACUUUUGUAAACCAGGCCCUUCCGUGAACCAAGGCUUUCUGGGCCAUGCCAUUCUAUAGCCCUGGACCUUCUGUAGUAGGAUCGUUCUAUGGUACAGAAUAUAAUGCUGUAUCUGUUUUUGUUUCAAAAAUUGAUGAACCUUUUUCUGAUCGGUGCAGUUUUAUUCCCUGGAGUAAUGCAAAUAUUGCAUUAGAUUUGCAAAAAAAUAUCGAUGACAAAGGACAUAAUAAAAUAAAAAUACGAUAUACUUUUUUCCAAAUGAAGCGCAUAUACAUCCUGUCUUCGUUUCUGUUCGGCGUAUUGUGAACACCUGUAUUCAGAAUAGAGUUAUCUCCUUUAUGGAAAUAACACAGCAUAUUUCUGAAUCGUAUAUGUACCACCUGUGUGAUAUACAUUCGGCGUGGUCUCGGACGUGGGCAGAUUACCAGCGUCAGGGUAGACCAAAACUGAGAUAUUUUCUGGUCAUUGUAGCAUACUCGCCGGGCCGAUACGGGUACACCCAAACUUGGAAACUUUCGGUUUCGUUCAAAAGAUAGUAAAAGCAACCGAAUUAAUUCAACACACGCCAGAAAUUUGAAUAAAUCGUGCACUCCACCAUGUAAUAAUAAUUGUACACCCAGUAGAUUUUGAAGAAUCGAAGAAAUCUCAGCAUUGGAUUGUUGCCGAGGAUUAUCUAGAAUAAAUCGAGCAGCAGUGCGAUUAGAUCGAAGAUGAAGGACUUGGUCUUGAGGUAGUGACCGGCGAGCUUUCGACUAUUGUAAACCAUGAAGCCCAGUAACCUGGAUGAUUUACAUAUCAGGCUCUUCCGUUUGCUGUCAACAAACAUGCUGGGCACUUCUGUAAUUCAGGGCUUAUCUGUAGGCCCUUCUGCGGUAUAGAGCCCUUCUGUGGAACAGAAUACUUCUGUAGGCCUUUCAUGGUUUCUUUCAAGUUCUUCUGUAGGCCAGGUCUUUUUGUGGUACAGGGCCCUUCUGUGGGACACCCUUUUGUAGGGCCUUCUGUAGCCCAGGCCUUUCUGUGGCACAGAGCUCUUCUGUAGGGCAGGCUCUUCCAUGGGUCAAGCUUUUCUAGUUUUAUUUAUAUUGCGUGUGUACAUACAUGCGUGCUUGCGUGCGUGCGCGCGCGCAUGUGUAUGUGUGUGUGCGACAAUGAGACAGUACCGAAUCUUCUAAUUUUUUGUCAUUAUUAUUGAGUAAGGAAUUUCUGUUGUGGUCUUCUUGGGAGAUUUGGGGGUUGUAAUAUAUGGUAAUACAGGGUCUUUCUGAAAUCCAGACCUUUCAGUGGUAAAGAGUCCUUCUGUGGACUGUGUUUUUCUGUGGGUUCUUCCGUGUUACAGGGUCUUGUUGUAAUGCUUUUCCAUGGAUCAAAUCCUUUUGUGGGCUAUGUUUUUUUGUAGUACAGGACCCUUCUGUGAUACAGAACAUUUUUGUGGGUCAAGCUCUUUUGAGGGCCAUACUCUUUUAUGAUACAGGGCCAUUCUGUACAGAAUGUGAUGCUGUAUCUGUUCUUGUUUCAAAAAUUGAUGAAUUUUUUUUACGGUUUUGUACUCGUUGUAAUUGAUACAUUCUUCUAGAUUUAUUAUGAAUUUAAAGGUAUACUAUCCAAUCUGGACUUGAUUGGCGUGAACGUGUGCGUAUACGAGCGAAUUUAACGACGAGUUAGAUUGCGUAUUGAAGUGUGUAAGGUGGAGAAUCUCCUUAAGUUUCAUUACGUCGAGAUCGGACACGAUACGAUAAAAAGAAAAUGAAGAAGAAGAAAAACGAAAGAAAAUAGCGGGGAGCAAAAGUUGUUAAAUGAAACGACUACUUCAAGCUCUCACAGAUUAUUGGGA